rnacentral:rRNA from 1 species
CACGUAGGCACCAAGCGUUGUUCGGAAUUACUGGGCGUAAAGCGCACGUAGGCGGACAUUUAAGUCAGGGGUGAAAUCCCAGAGCUCAACUCUGGAACUGCCUUUGAUACUGGGUGUCUAGAGUAUGGAAGAGGUGAGUGGAAUUCCGAGUGUAGAGGUGAAAUUCGUAGAUAUUCGGAGGAACACCAGUGGCGAAGGCGGCUCACUGGUCCAUUACUGACGCUGAGGUGCGAAAGCGUGGGGAGCAAACAGG